rnacentral:rRNA from 1 species
GGAAUAUUGGACAAUGUGCGAAAGCCUGAUCCAGCCAUGCCGCGUGUGUGAAGAAGGUCUUCGGAUUGUAAAGCACUAUAAGUUGGGAGGAAGGGCAGUAAGCGAAUACCUUGCUGUUUCGACGUUACCAACAGAAUAAGCACCGGCUAACUCUUUUCCAGCAGCCGCGGUAAUACAGAGGGUGCGAGCGUUAAUCGGAAUUACUGGGCGUAAAGCGCGCGUAGGUGGUUCGUGAAGUUGGAUGUGAAAGCCCCGGGCUCAACCUGGGAGCUGCAUCCAAAACUGGCGAGCUAGAGUAGGGCAGAGGGUGGUGGAAUUUCCUGUGUAGCGGUGAAAUGCGUAGAUAUAGGAAGGAACACCAGUGGCGAAGGCGACCACCUGGGCUCAUACUGACACUGAGGUGCGAAAGCGUGGGGAGC